rnacentral:rRNA from 1 species
GAUGAACGCUAGCUACAGGCUUAACACAUGCAAGUCGCGGGACCGGCGCACGGGUGAGUAACGCGUAUCCAACCUGCCCUUCAACACGGGAUAACCCGGCGAAAGUAGGACUAAUCCCGUAUGGUGAAGGAUGGGGAUGCGUGCGAUUCGCUUGACGUCGGGGUAACGGCCCACCGUGGCGACGAUCGGUAGGGGUUCUGAGAGUGAGGUCCCCCACACUGGAACUGAGCCACGGUCCGGACUCCUACGGAAGGCAGCAGUGAGGAAGAUUGGUCAAUGGGCGUAAGCCUGAACCAGCCAAGUAGCGUGCAGGACGACGGCCUAUGGGUUGUAAACUGCUUUUAUGCGGGGAUAGGUACCGCAUGAAUAAGGACCGGCUAAUUCCGUGCCAGCAGCCGCGGUAAUAC